UAUCAGCCUUUUGGGCAUGAUUCUGUGGAGCGUGAGGAGUUAAACGCCUUCAUGCCUGCAUAUUCGUGUACUUUGGGUGUACCUGCCUGUGUGGUUAGUUAACAUCAAUUUUGGUUAUCAUAAAAUGGCUGGAGGAAUGUAGCUUCGAUUUCGAUUGAAGUGUUAUAGCCUUCGGCAGAUGUGAUGAUCGGGAUUGAGGAUUGCAACGGAUACCCUUCGGGGCUACCUGUCUGGUCUCUGAUCGUUGCUUUGGUGCCGAAAGCGUGCUUACGGUUAUCAAAGUCGAUGGUCAAUAGGUUAGAACGGGUUAAAUUCGUUAAGGAUGUUGACGUA
rnacentral:rRNA from 1 species